UACUAUGGAAGGGUCGGCCAGAGACAGAGGUGUGACCAAGGGUUGGCAUUCUUCAGGUGUCAGAGCCGAGGUGCUCAGAAACAGCCCCACUACCAGGAGAUGACUGCUGAUCCACAGAUUCAUGAUGCUACAGCUGAUCAGCUUCGGAAUGUAACUAGAAGAGAUCUCAGGUGAUGGCUGCACGACACAAAAGCAGCGAUGACUGAGCUUCACCAAGCUGGUCAGCCUUUAUAGAAGCGAAGCCUUUUUAAAAAAAAAUUUGCCCAGAGUUGACCAACCCAUAUUCUAUAGCCAGCAUUCCUCUCUGCAAGUUCAACAGGGAUAUCAGGGUUUCCUGUUGUUGUAGGAUUUCAUAACCACACUGUUGGUUUUGUGUAGUAAUCAGUGACUGAUUUGUUGAAGGGUCGUUUACUGUCAUAAGCACAUGGCAUAUUUUUCACAACUUGUUUAUGAAAAUGGACAAAGUGCAAAAUGGGUGGUCUGGGGGCCCCAGGCAGUCCCAUGUAGACUUUUCCAUACUUCCAGCUAAAAAAUACAGUAUUGAUGUGCCAAAUUUCAGGUGCUCUAACAUCAUAAGAGACAGAGAUAUGGCAAAAAUGACUAUCUAAGGUUGCAGUGUAGUGUUUUGAGAUGCUAAAAUGGUAAUGUGGAUUCAUUGCUAGGACCAUAAAAAAUUUGUGUGAAAUUGUGCCUAUACGUGGACAUUUUGUGUGUAAAGUCUACAUGUCAUGGUGCUGUAAUAAUAUGGAAAGUGCAGUGUACUGCACACAAAAUGCCCACACAAAGACCUCUUUACACUUACAUUUUCAUUGUAUGUAUCCACAUCACCAUUUCAGGAUCUCAAUACAACAAUAAAUUGCAACCUUGGCUCAUCAUUCUUGUCAGUUCCCGGUAUGUGGAAGGAAUCCACAGUGGUAGCUGUGGCAAUAGUCAGGUCUCCGAAAUCUUUGAAUGGCUAUCACCCUGUGGCCUUGACAUCCCUCGUUAUGAAUACAUUUAAACACAUUGUCAAAUCUGAACUCUGAAGCCCCGUUUCCACCAAAGCAUCAGAGAGAUAGAGGCCAAAGAAAGAACAACAGAAAUCGUUUUGCCAAACGAUAGUUGUAAAAUUUCGCUUACCUUUGUUGUUUUGCCGUGAAAAGUCUAUUCUACCGGUAAAACACAGUACAUCCUGUUAGACCAACAUGUUGUGCUGCAUUCAAAUGCAAUAGUACACAACUGCAGCCGUGGUACAAACCACGCCCCCUACAAACCAUGCCCACAAUGCUAAACUAUGCUAAACAGAAGAAGAAGAAGAACGAAGAGCGCGAAGAGCGCGAAGAGCUCGAAGAGCGCGAAGAUCAGCGAAGAUGGCGAUGCCGACACAGGUAAUGCUGCGAAUCUAUGUGUGGUAUCUCCAUCAUAUCAUAAAUGGGCAUCUUGGAUAGGUCCACAGACCAGGGCAAACAACAUUGUAUUCAACACAGAAUACAUGAAGGUUCAAGGCAGAAAGCAGGCAAACCCAGCAGACCAGGCAGAAAUGGAUGUUACAGAGGACAGAUUGAUAAAUGAAAUUACGAACUUGAAGGUGAGAUUAGCUUCUAUAUUUUCCCCUGAAAUGGUAAUAUUUAUUAGGUGCAUAUUUGUGCACAACAAACUUGAGUAUAAGCAAUGCAUUCAAUGCAAUUUCUGCUAUCAUCUUUGCAUUAAAGCUUAUGUGGCUGUUCAAAUAUUUGUUCAUGUUUUCACAGGUUGAGGCAGUGCGAAAGUGCCAAACAGUGUGGCCUUGGCUCAACAGGAUCCAAAAUGGAUCUUGUCAUUCGCUUGAGAGACCAGAUGAAAAGCCGCAGCGCUUAUGACAAGGUUUUCUAAAAAGUCUGGGGUGCGUCUGGUAAGUUUAUCAAAAAAACAAAACAACAACAAUAUUUGCUUAGAAUAAAAUGUAUGUAAUAAACAGUAUUUUUAACACUAUCAAAGUACAAUGUGAUUCAGAGGAAACACUUAUAUGUAUUUUUCCAUCUCUUUUUUUUUCAUGUUAAAGUGAUAGUUCAGGUUUUUGGACAUGAAGUUGUGUGAAACGCUGACCAUCU